GCACAAGCAUGCCAAAGUUCCAAACACACCUGAAGACGGUGUCGUUUCAUCCUCCUCCGUGGUAUUAAGAUCUAUAAUGCCCACCAUUUUAUCCUCAAACCCCAACUAACCAACAAGAGUACAGAAUUGAAGAAAGAAAAGAUUUAGACAAGUGGUUUGGUUAUAGAGAGAAAAGAGAAUGGUUUUCAUUGCUGCAUCAGUGCAACUUUGGCAUUUGCUUAAUAAAAGGGAGAUGGGGUUGGGUGAGUCAAGACUCUUUCUCUCUUUUUCUCUCACUCAAAUGAA
rnacentral:misc_RNA from 1 species